UCAGGGACUUUUCUGUACUCUUCGCUCUGAGAAUGUGGUUUUCUCAGCCCCCUGGAGCUGUAGGAGUUUUACUCCCUCGACUUGGUCCUCAGUCCCCUCGGGAGUCAGUACCUUGGGGGGUUCUGGUAAGUGAGCCCCUCUUCUCACCUGUGCCUCCAGUUUGGGGGCUGUGGCUGCGAUUUCUGAAACAGCCAAGGCGAGAUCUUGGUUUCCAGUUUCUGCAUCUUAUUUCCUGUUGUGAAGCCCAGAGUGAAAACCUCAAGAAAACCUCCAGGGUCUUUUCGUCACCACAGACCACACGUCUGUUUGUGUUGGAUUUUUAAACUUCAGUUACUGCCCUUUUCAGCUACUGAUUUUUCAUAUUUUUAAAAAAUAAUUUAUACCUUUUCUUCAUUGGUGUUCUCUGUGUUGUAUAAUGUUGCCUCGCACCUUUCUUCACCUCCUUAAGCAUCUUUCCUUUAGCUCUGUGAUAUUUGUAAGGGCUGUUUUGAGUCUUUUCCUGUUAAAGCCAACAUUUGAUUCUGUCACACGCAAUCCCUGCUACCUACUCUCUCUCUGGGGUAUGGGCCAUAUUUUCACGUUUCUUUGCUCACCUCCUCAGUGUCUGUUGGAACCUGUACAGUUCAGAAAGUAUGUGGUGGUAGCCCUGGGUACCAGCCCCCACCUUCCAGGACUGCUAUUUGCUUGUUUAAUGUUUAGUGUCUGUUUAUGGCUUGCUCCUCUUCCUCAGCUAGAUUUUGAGCCUGUUCCCUGGAGCUGCAGGUGGGAACAAAGGUCGGCUUCUAUCUGAGGGACCCCCUCCCCCACCAGCCAUCUAGGAGCUGAGUGCUCAGUGGAGGGAAAGCAGCGUCCUCUCCUGGCAUGGAGAGCCUCUAUCUCAUGACCCAAAGCAAGGACAAUCAGUGCUUCAAGCCCCAGGAAAAGCCUCUGUUCCAUAAUUGGGAGCUGGGCAGAAGAAGGGAGCCCCAGUCUCCCAUUUGACCCAACUGGGGCUCAGCCUCAGGCAGCUGGGCUGGAUAAGAGGCCAUGAAGUCCUCCUCCUCCUCCUCCCUCCAGCUGAGUGCCAGUGGUUACAGCUGCCUGUGAGCAUCUCAGAGAUUUCCAAAAUGGUUGAUUUGCAUGAAACUGGUGGAAACUGGCCCAGGCCGAUGAAAGCCUCUUACAGACGCCAUCUGCCACCUUCCUGCCUCUGGACUCUCCAUCACAGCCAGUGGCUCCUACCGGGUCUGCUAACAAAUUCCUUGUUUUUGUUUGAGAAAAUACAUUUCACCUUCACUUUCGAGGAAUAAUUUCACUAUAUGUGGAAUACUCCAGCCCUGACUAGUGCAUAGAUCGACUAAUCCUACACCAAUGGAAAAGCCACAUGGUGAGAAGAGUUUCUGAGGUGUUUCCAGGUAGGAAGGCUGCUGUGGCCCACAGGACAACGUCUGAGGAGUGGCCGUGUUAAGGGAGCAGUUUACUACACAGCACAGCGUGGGGCCACACUUAAGCCGGAGCGGCUGGGGCAGGAGCGGCUGGGAGACCCUUCAAGCCUCAGACAGGACCGACAUGGGCCUGAGAAAGGCCCCGGGGACAAGCAUGGGAACAAUCUGGGCACCAGAGCAACUCCCAGGUCCCGCUCUCAUCCUUGCCCUCACACCUGCAGCGCCCAGCCCUGUGUGCCCAGACUGCGGGCCAGGGGACGGCACUUGUGGGCGUGGGGAGUCUGUGUCAGCAGCAGUGAGCAGGCUGCACAUAGUGCGGAAAGGGCUCAGGUGGUGUUUGUGGACACAGUGGCUCCGGCCGGAGCUGAGAGAAACGAGGGUCCACACGGGAACUGAUCCAACUGUGAAGGGCUGAAGGAGCUUCAGCCUCCCUCCUGACGGGAUCUGGACCCAAUGUGAAGAAGGACCCACAGGAGCCAUGACCCACGGGCGUCGAGCAGUCACUUGGAGAGGGAAUAGCUGGGCUUCCUCACAUUUCCAUCCACAAGGAGAGCACAGGCGUGUUUCACCUACAUUUUCUCAGCGUGUGGAAGAGGCCUUGGACUGCUGAGAUCUGAGGUGUUUCCCGUUUUGUUUGGGCCUUGACAUGAAGCUGGCUCCUACAUUCUCUCCUCUGUGCUCCAGAUGAGCUGAUGUAAUUGAACCUGUGGAAGCAUUUUAAUCCUGCGUACCGUGUGGCCUUAGCAUGAGGCGGCUCUACCCCCCGAGUUCCCAGAGCCGCCAGCCGGAAGCUCGCUCUGGUUCCUGAGUGGAGGUGAAGAUCUCAGACUGCCACUGGGCACAGGGCGGGCUUCCGGAGCCCCAGCUUCCCCAAGCACCAAUGAGUGGGAAGGAGAAAAAUAGCGAAAUCUCACAGAGAGUCUGUUUUUGCCGAUUCUGCUGGUACGCCUCCUCCCAUGUUCACCUGCAUUUUGGAUAAUUAGCCUGUAGGUAGAGACACUUAGCCGUAUGCUUAACCAAAGUUAAAAUUUUAAACGGAAAUAAGGUACAUUUUAUGUUAUAUACACUUUACCACAAUAAAAAAAAUUCAGUUGA